AUUGAACGCUGGCGGCAGGCCUAACACAUGCAAGUCGAGCGAGCGGCGGACGGGGGAGUAAUGUCUGGGAAACUGCCUGAUGGAGGGGGAGAACUCCUGGAAACGGUAGCUAAUACCGCAUACCAUAAGAUGUGCCCAGAUGGGUUUAGCUAGGAGGGGGGGUAAAGACGCAACUAGGCGACGAUCCCUAGAUGUUCUGAGAGGAUGACCAGCCACACUGGAACUGAGACACGGUCCAGACUCCUACGGGUGGCAGCGUUGGGGAAUAUUGCACAAUGGGCGCAAGCCUGAUGCAGCCAUGCCGCGUGUAUGAAGAAGGCCUUCGGGUUGUAAAGUACUUUCAGCGGGGAGGCGUUACCCGCAGAAGAAGCACCGGCUAACUCCGUGCCAGCCGCCGCGGUAAUAC
rnacentral:rRNA from 1 species